rnacentral:antisense_RNA from 1 species
UAAACUGGCGUGACAGGAGUUCCGGGAUUGUCCACAGCACGGUGAUGUGGAAACCCUGGGGAGAGAAUGAUAAAGUUAAAGAAAGUGGGUGAGGAACACCUCCACCCGGAAGAGCGGGCUUCCCUAGUAAAUGAAUCUGGAAGGGCGCAGUGGAGGGGGCACGGCGAGUUCAGGUGGCCCGAGGCUGGAAGCUGACGCGGUUGGAGGGGGAUGGGUGUAGCAGUUGGCAGUGGCGCUGGGGUGGAAGUGUGUGGGGUCACAGAUGUGUAAGGGUGGGCGCGGAGCAGACCCCCAAAGGUCCCUGAGGUCAGGCUGAGGCAUUGGACCAAAUCUGUACAUAGGCAUUUCUCUGAACUCCGCGCCACCUUUUGAGUGCCAUCUGUUUCCGUCCAGGACUCGAUACAACUAUCCAGUCCGCUGCAGGGACCGGUCACUGUGUCACAGGUUCUCCAGAGGGCCAGAACUAACAGGAUAUAUGUAUAUAUUGAAAGGGAGUAUAUUAGGGAGAAUUGGCUCACAGGAUCAUCAGGCAAAGUCCCCCUAUAGGCCAUCUGCAAGCUGAGGAAGGAAGAAGCCAGUCAUGUCUC